AACGAACGCUGGCGGCAGGCUUAACACAUGCAAGUCGAGCGCCCCGCAAGGGGAGCGGCAGACGGGUGAGUAACGCGUGGGAAUCUACCCAAUACUACGGAAUAGCUCCGGGAAACUGGAAUUAAUACCGUAUGUGCCCUACGGGGGAAAGAUUUAUCGGUAUUGGAUGAGCCCGCGUUGGAUUAGCUAGUUGGUGAGGUAAAAGCUCACCAAGGCGACGAUCCAUAGCUGGUCUGAGAGGAUGAUCAGCCACACUGGGACUGAGACACGGCCCAGACUCCUACGGGAGGCAGCAGUGGGGAAUAUUGGACAAUGGGCGCAAGCCUGAUCCAGCCAUGCCGCGUGAGUGAUGAAGGCCUUAGGGUUGUAAAGCUCUUUUAGUGGGGACGAUAAUGACGGUACCCACAGAAAAAGCCCCGGCUAACUUCGUG
rnacentral:rRNA from 1 species